GCUGUUUCAGUUUUUAGUGGGAGUUGCUUAAAAAUCCCAAUUUUUGCUCCGGAAGGGUGCUGCGUAUAAGCUUAACGGGGAGGUUAUUGGUGGGCUUUUAAUUCUUUUAUGUGCCAACUUAAUAAUCCCAAGAAGUCAAAUACGUUGUUGAACAAACAAACUGAGGAUCCUCCCGGAAAGAAUCGGUAUGGUUUCGUUUUCGAUUUUCCGGUGUGGAUGAAUGUGCGAGGUGAUUGUUUGGUGUUUGUGUGUAGCUUUGAUAUGCCUGCGCCGCCCGAGUUAAAUAAAGAUCUUCAGUUGCUCAAGAAAAGAGAAGGUCCGGGAGAUAGAAGCAAAAAACCAACCAGGAGGGGUGGAUUAAUGGAAGAUAAAGGGUAGAGAGUCUUGGAAAUGUGCCAAGCAAAGAAGCCACUGAUGCGUGGAUGUAGGCCCUGCUUACUCUUUCGCUAAUUAAGGUUUCUUUCCGCUGUGAGGAUGACUCAAACUAGAAUUUGUGGUGUCAAAGCAUGGGCAAAUCUCAAGACCCUCACAGUUGUAAUAGUCGCGGAUACUAGUAAUUUUGCAUCCUUCACAAAAAGACUGGAUUUUGAAUAUAUGAUUAGAUCUUCAUAUACUUGAAGUUUGUGUAUUUCUGUUUUUAUGCAGGUGAUCGUUUUUGAAUUAGAUGCUAAAAUGGGUGUCUUGCAUUUUUGUUGGUUUGUUUAUAAAUCUCAAGAUUGGUUGUGGGCAUUAAUAGGGAAAAACGUUUAACUGAACCGGAAGUGGGUCAUUUUAGAGCUCAGGGGGUUCCUAUGAAGAUUUUCUGGUGAAAAGGGAUGUGCUUCUUCCACUUGGUAUGUCUUUAGGUGUUCACCGUUUUGUUCCUGGACAGUAUGUUGAUGCGACGCAGCGACUGAAUCACCAGAGGAAAAGGUUUACAGGUGGCAUGAAAGAAGGGCUUUAGAGGAAUGCCUGCAUCUCAUGGUGUGUCAUUAUCACAUAGAAGUAUUGGUUCUAAUGGCCAGACGGAUGCUCCUGGCAAGCAUAUUCAUACUAAGAGCUGGAUCAUGGGGACUUCAUAUACCUGAGAAAUGAUAUUGACAGCCUUGAGCAUAGGUACAGUAAAGGCAAAAAGAUGCCUGGUCGCAUGGGUGGAAAGAAGCAAAAUGUUUAAAAUGUUUGGGUGUAUAGAACAGAACCAGCAAGAAACUUAAUCUAUGUGAGAGACCAAGGCUGGAUCCAUUCUUAUUUGGGCGGGUCAGCUAGCGGAACUAUUUGCAGCUUAGCAGCUUAUGUUCACACUGGGUAUUGCUUUUAAAGUUAAAGUGCGUAUAAUAAUCAGCACCGGAAUCUAAGUGGCAAAAAUCAAGAGCCUGGAGACUCCAGGUACCAGGUUCUACAUGAAACUGUGUAUAUCGAGGAUGCCGUGUACAAGAUAAGAGAUGCAUCUUUGUUCUCAUUCUCCACAUAUUUUGCUCCUGAAGACAGGGACUUAGAGCAAGUCCAAUAGGUUACCUAUACGAUGUCCUAAACUCACAUUUAGGUAAUGUGUCAAAAAAAUGCACUCCAGCACUAUCUUAGUGUUAUCCUAAAUCACUAGCACAACCUUAAUUCUCCUAGUCAUUACCUAUAUAUAAGUAACCCCUAACCAUUACCUAUUUAAUAUUUAUGAAUAAAAUAAUCAUCUCUCUCCUUCUUUCUUUGUCUAUUCUCUCCUUUUCCUCUUCUCUCUCACAAAUUCAUUAUUAAAAUAAUCUUAGGAGAACAAAUAUAGGGAUUACUAUUGGAGUUGAGACUAAAAAUAGAUUACCUAAAUCACUAAGACAUACUAGCACUCAUUAUUUUAUAUUAUUUAUAAGUAACAGGAUAGGUAACCUAUUGGAUUUGCUCUUAACCAUGCUAAAACCUCUGAUAGCUGAUCUUGGGGAUGUUGAUCCAUUUGUCGCAGCAGACUAGUUGACCUCGUAGGUCUGUCGUUGUUACGGUUUUUCUAUGGUGUGCCCAUGGGCACAUGCUAAGCGCGGAAAAUUUUAUGCUUAGAUCAUUUUGAUUGGCUCCUAUCUAUGGAUAAUGGUGGACCCCCUGCAAAUACACCAACCAAACCUAUCAAAAUCUCCCAAAUACAAAAAUUUCCGCGCUUAAUAUGUGCUCAUGGGCACACACUAGACAAACCGAAAUUGUUAUGCCAGUGAUAAAGUUACAGUACCUUUAGCCCAAAAAAGAGGGAACAUCUCCACCCUGAUAUUGUGCAAGGGGUAGUAAUAGAGUUGAUCAUCACUAUUAUAACUAGAUGAUUGGCUUACUUUUGUUAUUUUGUCAUUUAUUCCAUAGGUCAAACUGGCCUGCAUUGUUGUUGGAGCUAGUGUUUGAAAGUGUCUGGGGUACAGAAUUGUGUGUACAUAUGACUUUUUAACUCAUAUAUCUAAAUCUCUUGAUAGUAU